AACACAUGCAAGUCGAGCGGGGAAGGGUAGCUUGCUACAUUUCCUAGCGGCGGACGGGUGAGUAAUGCUUAGGAAUCUGCCUAUUAGUGGGGGACAACAUUCCGAAAGGAAUGCUAAUACCGCAUACGCCCUACGGGGGAAAGCAGGGGAUCUUCGGACCUUGCGCUAAUAGAUGAGCCUAAGUCAGAUUAGCUAGUUGGUGGGGUAAAGGCCUACCAAGGCGACGAUCUGUAGCGGGUCUGAGAGGAUGAUCCGCCACACUGGGACUGAGACACGGCCCAGACUCCUACGGGAGGCAGCAGUGGGGAAUAUUGGACAAUGGGCGCAAGCCUGAUCCAGCCAUGCCGCGUGUGUGAAGAAGGCCUUUUGGUUGUAAAGCACUUUAAGCGAGGAGGAGGCUACUGGUAUUAAUACUACCGGAUAGUGGACGUUACUCGCAGAAUAAGCACCGGCUAACUCUGUGCCAGCAGCCGCGGUAAUACAGAGGGUGCGAGCGUUAAUCGGAUUUACUGGGCGUAAAGCGUGCGUAGGCGGCUUUUUAAGUCGGAUGUGAAAUCCCUGAGCUUAACUUAGGAAUUGCAUUCGAUACUGGGAAGCUAGAGUAUGGGAGAGGAUGGUAGAAUACCAGGUGUAGCGGUGAAAUGCGUAGAGAUCUGGAGGAAUACCGAUGGCGAAGGCAGCCAUCUGGCCUAAUACUGACGCUGAGGUACGAAAGCAUGGGGAGCAAACAGGAUUAGAUACCCUGGUAGUCCAUGCCGUAAACGAUGUCUACUAGCCGUUGGGGCCUUUGAGGCUUUAGUGGCGCAGCUAACGCGAUAAGUAGACCGCCUGGGGAGUACGGUCGCAAGACUAAAACUCAAAUGAAUUGACGG
rnacentral:rRNA from 1 species